rnacentral:rRNA from 1 species
GAUGAACGCUGGCGGCGUGCCUAAUACAUGCAAGUCGAGCGAACAGAUAAGGAGCUUGCUCCUUUGACGUUAGCGGCGGACGGGUGAGUAACACGUGGGUAACCUACCUAUAAGACUGGGAUAACUUCGGGAAACCGGAGCUAAUACCGGAUAACAUUUGGAACCGCAUGGUUCUAAAGUGAAAGAUGGUUUUGCCAUCACUUAUAGAUGGACCCGCGCCGUAUUAGCUAGUUGGUAAGGUAACGGCUUACCAAGGCGACGAUACGUAGCCGACCUGAGAGGGUGAUCGGCCACACUGGAACUGAGACACGGUCCAGACUCCUACGGGAGGCAGCAGUAGGGAAUCUUCCGCAAUGGGCGAAAGCCUGACGGAGCAACGCCGCGUGAGUGAUGAAGGGUUUCGGCUCGUAAAACUCUGUUAUUAGGGAAGAACAAAUGUGUAAGUAACUGUGCACGUCUUGACGGUACCUAAUCAGAAAGCCACGGCUAACUACGUG